UUGCUGUUUUGAUGACGUCAUAAUUGAGGUGUUAGUAUAUAUACCGGUAGCCACCAGUAACAACUACCAGUAGUCACCGCGGUAACUUCGUGGCGACUCAGGACUCCUUGCUCAGUCUGGCAGUCAUGAAACCUUACAUCAUCGGUCUCCUGGCCUCGGCCGUCCUCCUGGUCUCCGUGACCGGCAUGGCUCUUCCUAGUGGAGGCGGUGGCGGAUUUGGAGGCGGUGGCGGAGAAGAUAUGGAGGAAUGGAGGCGUGGAUUUGGAGGAGGUGGUGAUUUGGGGGUGGCGGCGGU